rnacentral:rRNA from 1 species
CACGUAGGGCGCAAGCGUUGUCCGGAAUUAUUGGGCGUAAAGAGCUUGUAGGCGGUUUGUCGCGUCUGCUGUGAAAUUUCGGGGCUCAACCCCGAACUUGCAGUGGGUACGGGCAGACUAGAGUGUGGUAGGGGAGACUGGAAUUCCUGGUGUAGAGGUGAAAUGCGCAGAUAUCAGGAGGAACACCGAUGGCGAAGGCAGGUCUCUGGGCCAUAACUGACGCUGAGAAGCGAAAGCAUGGGGAGCGAACAGG